rnacentral:rRNA from 1 species
GACGAGUGGCGGACGGGUGAGUAAUGUCUGGGAAACUGCCUGAUGGAGGGGGAUAACUACUGGAAACGGUAGCUAAUACCGCAUAACGUCGCAAGACCAAAGAGGGGGACCUUCGGGCCUCUUGCCAUCGGAUGUGCCCAGAUGGGAUUAGCUAGUAGGUGGGGUAACGGCUCACCUAGGCGACGAUCCCUAGCUGGUCUGAGAGGAUGACCAGCCACACUGGAACUGAGACACGGUCCAGACUCCUACGGGAGGCAGCAGUGGGGAAUAUUGCACAAUGGGCGCAAGCCUGAUGCAGCCAUGCCGCGUGUAUGAAGAAGGCCUUCGGGUUGUAAAGUACUUUCAGCGGGGAGGAAGGGAGUAAAGUUAAUACCUUUGCUCAUUGACGUUACCCGCAGAAGAAGCACCGGCUAACUCCGUGCCAGCAGCCGCGGUAAUACGGAGGGUGCAAGCGUUAAUCGGAAUUACUGGGCGUAAAGCGCACGCAGGCGGUUUGUUAAGUCAGAUGUGAAAUCCCCGGGCUCAACCUGGGAACUGCAUCUGAUACUGGCAAGCUUGAGUCUCGUAGAGGGGGGUAGAAUUCCAGGUGUAGCGGUGAAAUGCGUAGAGAUCUGGAGGAAUACCGGUGGCGAANGCGGCCCCCUGGACGAAGACUGACGC